ACUCCUACGGGAGGCAGCAGCCGAGAAUAUUGGACAAUGGGGGAAACCCUGAUCCAGCGACACCGCGUUUAGGAAGAAGGUCUUCGGAUUGUAAACUAAUUUUGCAAGGGAAGAAGUUUUCUGACUGUACCUUGCGAAUAAGGGGUUGCUAACUCUGUGCCAGCAGCAGCGGUAAUACAGAGACCCCAAGCGUUAUCCGGAUUUAUUGGGUGUAAAGCAUGUGUAGGUGGUUGGAGUAGUCUUUUGUUAAAGUUCAAGGGCUCAACCUUUGAAACACAAGGGAAACCAUCCAACUUGAGGACGUUAGAGGUUAGUGGAACCAUCGGUGUAGGGGUGAAAUCCGUUGAUAUCGAUGGGAACACCAAAAGCGAAGGCAACUAACUGGGGCGAUCCUGACACUGAGACAUGAAAGCGUGGGUAGCAAAAAGGAUUAGAUACCCUGGUAGUC
rnacentral:rRNA from 1 species